GUGGCCAUGGUAUAUGGUCCUGUAAACGGAUGGGUCGUCAUUUAUCUUUUGGACCUGCUUGGUCGCGGGGCACCCCAGGUCGAACUUGUGAGUGCACCUGAAGUAGCUCCUUACCACGGGAACUCCGAGUUGAGAAUCGCUUUCUGACCAUAUUUGCUCCAUUGGUACCCGUCGUCGAUCAAAUUGGGGUCCAUCCUCAUCCGUGUAUCUGAAGUCUUUCUGCAGAAAAAAAAUUUGAAUAAUUCCCAGUUCAUGUUAGAAUCAAUUUAGACCCACAUACAUAAUUUAACUUAUAACAAAUUCCAUAAAUGAAUAAAAAGACAA